rnacentral:rRNA from 1 species
UACUUCCUACUUCGAUUACUCCAACACCUCCGCUAACGGUUCUUCUAACAGGUUCUGUACGGGAUACUCCGCGCGCAACUACGACACCACUUCAUAAAGCGCGUGCUUGCGUUUUAAGAAGAGUUUUUCAGAGAUCGGGCCUCUCACGUAGAGUGGGCAAGGUACAUGUACUUCCGCCAAAGGAGCACCACGUUGUUGUUACAAGGAACGAUGGUCGUUUAGUAUAGGUUUACCUAUCUGGGCCUCACCUCCCGGGUUGUAGCUUACCGAAGCCUCGCCGCACGGAACUACCCACCAGGCCAUGUGGAAGUUCCGUUGGAGUUGGAGGUGCGAAUGCACGUCUUCUUCUUAUCCCUCUCUCUACUCCCGGUUCUCUUCGAGUUAUGGAAGUGCCCUAAUACAGAGAGGGCGUUCAGUUUCUUUGGCCUUCCCCCCACCCAGUUAGGUCCGCGAUCGAACUCCUAACUACGUAUGUCACCCUUCAAGUUCCUCGUGUUGCACGGACUGAGACUAGGCCGGAGUGUCCUGUAACUGCGAUGUUAAAGGGAGGUCAACCCUCUACCGUUCUUCCCACCAGCCAAUAUACAACCGCUGCCACGGUAGGCAUUCAUCCUGUAGGGUUUUGAGAGAGUGGAGGCACGAUGGUGCAGCUCGAGUCCAGGACGAUAUCUCGCAGCGGGUGUCGGACCCGAUGUGUACGAGGUAGUUGAGCUCCGGUUACGGUCCGAAGCUCUCCUCCUUCGGUACUUUUACGUCGUCCGGGACAAAGUUGUCGUUCUUAAGUACCAAUUUGUUGUCCGUUAGGACGUCCUCUGUAAACGAGUUGAGUCUUUAUUAUACGUCCCAAGGUGAAACGGGCAAGAAGGAGGAGAAGGCUGAGAAGGAUUAAAGUUGAAA